GCUAGGAUGGUUGAGUGGUCUAAGGCGCUAGACUCAAGUUUUGGUCCUCUUACGAGGGGUGUGGGUUCAAACCCCACUUCUGACA
rnacentral:tRNA from 1 species